rnacentral:rRNA from 1 species
CCUACGGGCGGCAGCAGUGAGGAAUAUUGGUCAAUGGACGUAAGGCUGAACCAGCCAUGUCGCGUGAAGGAAGAAGGAUCUAUGGUUUGUAAACUUCUUUUAUAGGGGAAUAAAGGUUUCCACGUGUGGAUAUUUGAAUGUACCCUAUGAAUAAGCAUCGGCUAACUCCGUGCCAGCAGCCGCGGUAAUACGGAGGAUGCGAGCGUUAUCCGGAUUUAUUGGGUUUAAAGGGUGCGUAGGUGGUUUGUUAAGUCAGCGGUGAAAGUUUGUGGCUCAACCAUAAAAUUGCCGUUGAAACUGGAAGACUAGAGUGUGUUUGCGGUAGGCGGAAUGUGUGGUGUAGCGGUGAAAUGCAUAGAGAUCACGCAGAACACCGAUUGCGAAGGCAGCUUACUAAGCCAUAACUGACACUGAAGCACGAAAGCGUGGGGAGCAAACAGGAUUAGAUACCCUAGUAGUC